GACGAACGCUGGCGGCGUGCCUAAUACAUGCAAGUAGAACGCUGAAGAGAGGAGCUUGCUCUUCUUGGAUGAGUUGCGAACGGGUGAGUAACGCGUAGGUAACCUGCCUGGUAGCGGGGGAUAACUAUUGGAAACGAUAGCUAAUACCGCAUAAAAUGGAUUAUCGCAUGAUAAUGCAUUGAAAGGUGCAAAUGCAUCACUACCAGAUGGACCUGCGUUGUAUUAGCUAGUUGGUGGGGUAACGGCUCACCAAGGCGACGAUACAUAGCCGACCUGAGAGGGUGAUCGGCCACACUGGGACUGAGACACGGCCCAGACUCCUACGGGAGGCAGCAGUAGGGAAUCUUCGGCAAUGGACGGAAGUCUGACCGAGCAACGCCGCGUGAGUGAAGAAGGUUUUCGGAUCGUAAAGCUCUGUUGUAAGAGAAGAACGAGUGUGAGAGUGGAAAGUUCACACUGGACG
rnacentral:rRNA from 1 species